CCUACGGGUGGCUGCAGUGGGGAAUAUUGGACAAUGGGGGCAACCCUGAUCCAGCCAUGCCGCGUGUGUGAAGAAGGCCCUCGGGUUGUAAGGCACUUUCAGUGAGGAAGAACGCCUGGUGGUUAAUACCCAUCAGGAAAGACAUCACUCACAGAAGAAGCACCGGCUAACUCCGUGCCAGCAGCCGCGGUAAUACGGAGGGUGCGAGCGUUAAUCGGAAUUACUGGGCGUAAAGCGCGCGUAGGUGGCUUGAUAAGCCGGUUGUGAAAGCCCCGGGCUCAACCUGGGAACGGCAUCCGGAACUGUCAAGCUAGAGUGCAGGAGAGGAUGGUAGAAUUCCCGGUGUAGCGGUGAAAUGCGUAGAGAUCGGGAGGAAUACCAGUGGCGAAGGCGGCCUUCUGGACUGACACUGACACUGAGGUGCGAAAGCGUGGGUAGCAAACAGGAUUAGAUACCCUGGUAGUC
rnacentral:rRNA from 1 species